GGGGCGGACCCUUGGGUCACCACUGAGUCUGCGAAGGCGCUGAGGUUCUGGGACCCCGCGGCGUCACCGAACUUGAGCCUUCCGCCCGGGGACGCGGCCGCCGCAGCUCGGGACGCGGGGAGCGCGGCCUGCGCGAGCUCAAGACCCGGCCUGACGUGCUCACCGCUGCAGCGGCGCCUCCUGGACGGGGACCCAGGGCCCGGACUGCACUCUUCCCGGGGCGCCGCCGAGCGCUGGUCCCAGCAGGGCCCGGCAGUCGCAGGUGCGUGGGCGAGCGAAGCUGCCGCGUUCGCGGGCCCCGGCGUGGGGUCAGGGGUUGAGUGGGCACGUGGUUCUUUCUGGGGUGACGAAAAGGUCCUACAGUCGUGGGGAUGGUCCUUCCGUUCUCGGUGAAGUUACUAAACGUCAGUGACUCUCGCAACGGGUGAGCUUUGUGAUACGUGCUCUGCGCUCAGUAACGCUGUUACAGUAGUAAGUAAAAGCAGUAACGUCAGCGUCGACCCAGCGCAGCCCUCUCCAGACCGGGUGCGGAGCCUGUCUCUUCUGCCCGGCCGGCGAGGAGCAGAGCCCGGCAAGAACCCUCCUCCCGAGGGACCCCGACCCGGGUUGUGCCUCCGGGAGCAGGUGCUGUUCACACAGAGGGACGCCAGGACGGGCGGCCCCACACUUCCAGUGACCUCCCGCCCCCCUAGAGCUGAAGACACGGCCUUGACUAAGCGGCGACCACAUGGACACACCAGUUUUUUCUUUUUUUUUUUUGGGAUGGAGUCUCGCUCUGUCGCCCAGGCUGGAGUGCGGUGGCGCGAUCUCCGCUCACUGCAAGCUCCGCCUCCCGGGUUCACGCCAUUCUCCUGCCUCAGCCUCCCGAGUAGCUGAGACUACAGGCGCCCGCAACCGCGCCCGGCUAGUUUUUUGUAUUUUUUAGUAGAGAUGGGGUUUCACCUUGUUAGCCAGGAUGGUCUCCAUCUCCUGACCUCAUGAUCCGCCCGCCUCGGCCUCCCAAAGUGCUGGGAUUACAGGCGUGAGCCACCGCGCCCGGCCAGUUUUUUCGUUUUUGAAACAGGGCCCCCCUCUGUCGUCCAGGCUGCAGUGCAGUGGCGCGAUCUCGGCUCACUGCAGCCUCUACCUCCCUGGCAGAAGCGAUCCUCCAGCCUCAGCCUCCCGAGUAGCUGGGACUAUAGGCGCCCCCAUGCCCCGCUAACUUCUGUGUUUUUUGUAGAGAUGAUGUCUUACCAAGUUCCCCAGGCAUUAACUGACCCGGAAUCAACCUGGCGGGUCAGGGAGAGCCUCUUCUGCCCAGAGGUCACUGUGCCCGGACUCGAGCCCUGGCUGUGAAGUUCCUGAGGCCCCUCACUCCAGGGAUGGGAAACACCAAAGGCGUGAUGUUUCCUCCUCGGUUUCUGAGGCUGCCUGGAAGCGGGGAUAGUGGUGAGCAGCUGUCUCUCCCUUUCCUGAAAACGUAAAUCAGAAACCCUUUCUGAGGCCAGGCACGGUGGCUCAUGCCUGUAAUCCCAGCACUUUGGGAGGCUGAAGUGGGUGGAUCACCUGAGGUCAGGAGUUCUAGACCAGCCUGGCCAACAUGGUGAUAAUCCCCUCUCCACUGAAAAUACAAAAAUUAGCUGGGCAUGUUGGUAUGUGCCUGUAAUCCCAGCUGCUUGGAAGGCUGAGGCAGAAUUGCUUAAACUCAGGAAAUGGAGGUUGCAGUGAGCCGAGAUUGUGCCACCGCAUUCCAGCCUGGGCUACAGAGCAAGACUCUGUCUCAGGAAAAAAAAGAAAAAAAAAAGUGGCUCAAAAAUAAACAAUUAAAAAUGUUCUUAUGGUCUUCACAAAAAUAAACUUUUUAAAAAAGAAAAAAAAGU
ensembl:lncRNA